UCUCCGUUGGUGAACCAGCGGAGGGAUCAUUACCGAGUUUACAACUCCCAAACCCAAUGUGAACCAUACCAAACUGUUGCCUCGGCGGGGUCACGCCCCGGGUGCGUCGCAGCCCCGGAACCAGGCGCCCGCCGGAGGGACCAGCCAAACUCUUUCUGUAGUCCCCUCGCGGACGUUAUUUUUACAGCUCUGAGCAAAAAUUCAAAAUGAAUCAAAACUUUCAACAACGGAUCUCUUGGUUCUG
rnacentral:misc_RNA from 1 species